GCUUAGCCGUAAACUUUAAAUUACACCUACAUCGCCAGGGAACUACGAGCAAAGCUUAAAACCCAAAGGACUUGACGGUACCCCAUAUCCACCUAGAGGAGCCUGUCCUACAAUCGAUACCCCCCGCUAAACCUCACCACUUUUAGUCUACUCAGCCUGUAUACCUCCGUCGUCAGCUUACCACGUGAGCGCAAUUUAGUGAGCUUAAUGCCCGUGCGCCAAUACGUCAGGUCAAGGUGCAGCAAAUGAAGUGGGAAGAGAUGGGCUACACUCUCUAAUAUAGAAAAAACGGAAGAUUAUCUAUGAAACCUAAUCUAAAGGCGGAUUUAGAAGUAAAAAGAAAAAAGAAUGUCCUUUUUAACCCGGCACUGGGGUGUGUACACACCGCCCGUCACCCUCUUCAUAGCCACCAAAAAGUAAAUAACCAAUUAAUGCAACACAGAAGAGGCAAGUCGUAACAUGGUAAGUAUACCGGAAGGUGUGCUUGGAAAC
rnacentral:rRNA from 1 species